AUUGGUCAAUGGGCGAGAGCCUGAACCAGCCAAGUCGCGUGAGGGAAGAAUGGUCUAUGGCCUGUAAACCUCUUUUGUCAAGGAAGAAUAAGGAUGACGAGUCAUUCGAUGCCAGUACUUGACGAAUAAGCAUCGGCUAACUCCGUGCCAGCAGCCGCGGUAAUACGGGGGAUGCGAGCGUUAUCCGGAUUUAUUGGGUUUAAAGGGCGCGUAGGCGGGACGGCAAGUCAGCGGUAAAAGACUGCAGCUAAACUGUAGCACGCCGUUGAAACUGUUGACCUCGAGACGAGACGAGGGAGGCGGAACAAGUGAAGUAGCGGUGAAAUGCAUAGAUAUCACUUGGAACCCCGAUAGCGAAGGCAGCUUCCCAGGCUCGUUCUGACGCUGAUGCGCGAGAGCGUGGGUAGCGAACAGGAUUAGAUACCCUGGUAGUCCACGCCGUAAACGAUGCUCACUGGAUCUUGGCGAUACACGGCCAGGGUUCAAGCGAAAGUAUUAAGUGAGCCACCUGGGGAGUACGUCGGCAACGAUGAAACUCAAAGGAAUUGACGGGGGCCCGCACAAGCGGAGGAACAUGUGGUUUAAUUCGAUGAUACGCGAGGAACCUUACCCGGGUUUAAAUGUGGAGUGCAUGAGCUGGAAACAGUUCUUUCCCUCGGGACUCUUCACAAGGUGCUGCAUGGUUGUCGUCAGCUCGUGCCGUGAGGUGUCGGGUUAAGUCCCAUAACGAGCGCAACCCCUAUCGCCAGUUGCCAUCGGUUCAAGCCGGGCACUCUGUCGAGACUGCCACCGUAAGGUGCGAGGAAGGCGGGGAUGACGUCAAAUCAGCACGGCCCUUACACCCGGGGCGACACACGUGUUACAAUGGCCGGUACAGAGGGCAGCCACGGGGUGACCCGGAGCGAAUCUCUAAAGCCGGUCGUAGUUCGGACUGGAGUCUGCAACCCGACUCCACGA
rnacentral:rRNA from 1 species